rnacentral:rRNA from 1 species
CCUACGGGGGGCAGCAGUGAGGAAUAUUGGUCAAUGGACGAGAGUCUGAACCAGCCAAGUAGCGUGAAGGAUGACUGCCCUAUGGGUUGUAAACUUCUUUUAUAUGGGAAUAAAAUGUUCCACGUGUGGGAUUUUGUAUGUACCAUAUGAAUAAGGAUCGGCUAACUCCGUGCCAGCAGCCGCGGUAAUACGGAGGAUCCGAGCGUUAUCCGGAUUUAUUGGGUUUAAAGGGAGCGUAGGUGGAUUGUUAAGUCAGUUGUGAAAGUUUGCGGCUCAACCGCAAAAUUGCAGUUGAAACUGGCAGUCUUGAGUACAGUAGAGGUGGGCGGAAUUCGUGGUGUAGCGGUGAAAUGCUUAGAUAUCACGAAGAACUCCGAUUGCGAAGGCAGUUCACUGGACUGCAACUGACACUGAGGCUCGAAAGUGUGGGUAUCAAACAGGAUUAGAUACCCGUGUAGUC